GCGGUGCGAAGCCCCCGGGGCAGCUCAGCGCGGCUCCCGCUGCUGCCAUCGCCCUCAGCCUGGCUGCGAAGGGCAGCCCGGGCCGCCGGCGGGUCCCGCUUCUCCCUCCCAGAGCUAUCGAUAGUUGUAAGCGUUUUUGAAAUCACCGCAAACAUCUGGAAGGUAUGAGUGUACCGGAUUUGUUUUCAGCCGCAAAGCAGACCCCAAUCCCAAACCCUCCAAUUCUGCUUCAUCCACGCGGUCUUUGAUACACCCAUGGGACAGGAGACAGAGUUUACUGUGAAAUGUUGUAGCUAAGAUAACAGCAACGCCACCAGAAGCCUGUUCUGUGAUACCACCAAAUGUGUUUCUGAUCUGAACUGGAGGACAUGUCCUCAAGAUCCAAUCCAAAAUCUACAACCAUCUUUUUGUAACUUCUUUCUGUAACACUUGUCUGACCUGGUUACCACCUGCAGUAGUAUUUGAACUGAGGUACAUAAACUUUUAGGUUUGCUUUUUUGGCCAGUUUUUCCACUAG
ensembl:lncRNA